CUCAGAGACCAAACAGAAACCAAACAGAAGGACGACUCUUCAGUGAUCCAAUUCCUCCUGAGACGUCUGGUUUCAGGAAGUUCCAUCCAGGAAUCAUCCAUCAGUUAAACCUCCACCUGGACUGAAGUUCUGCUUCCAUCAGGAGUUUCUACAUCUUGUAGCUCAGCAGCCUCCAGUCUGUUGGUGUCUUCUGCCCCCAGUGGUGCUGUUUGAUCACUGCAUCCAUCCUCUGGAGUUUCAGCUUCAUGCUGCCUUCAGAUAAGGUUUGAUCCUGGAACACCCACGUGGCUUCAGGUGAUCUUCCAUCAGUCCACUCCCAGUUAGAGCUGCUGGAUGUUUGACUUAAACCGAUCCAGAACUUCAGACGAUACCCCAGUUUGUUCAGGAACACCUUCAGGAGGAAACAUCACUUCAUCGCCUCACAUUCAAACACACUCGUGGAUGUUUCUGCAGAUAAACUCACCAUCUCCUGCCGGCUGCUGAUGACCACCAGAUGGGCUCGUUGGCCUAAACACUGCUGUCGGCUGAAAUUCCACGAGCUCAGAAUUGGAGAGAAGAAGUAACAGCAUCAGUAUCAGAUAAGGCAAUGGUUUAAAAUCUAUAUCCCUAAUGAAAAUGUAACUUAACACCAUUUUUAGAGGGUUACUGCAUGUAGAAUAUUCACACUCAAUACUUAACCCUUUAAAGUAACAUAAAAACUGGU
ensembl:lncRNA